rnacentral:rRNA from 1 species
CUGGGCGUAAAGCGCACGCAGGCGGUUUGUUAAGUCAGAUGUGAAAUCCCCGGGCUCAACCUGGGAACUGCAUUUGAAACUGGCAAGCUAGAGUCUCGUAGAGGGGGGUAGAAUUCCAGGUGUAGCGGUGAAAUGCGUAGAGAUCUGGAGGAAUACCGGUGGCGAAGGCGGCCCCCUGGACGAAGACUGACGCUCAGGUGCGAAAGCGUGGGGAGCAAACAGGAUUAGAUACCUUGGUAGUCCACGCUGUAGACGAUGUCGAUUUGGAGGUUGUGCCCUUGAGGCGUGGCUUCCGGAGCUAACGCGUUAAAUCGACCGCCUGGGGAGUACGGCCGCAAGGUUAAAACUCAAAUGAAUUGACGGGGGCCCGCACAAGCGGUGGAGCAUGUGGUUUAAUUCGAUGCAACGCGAAGAACCUUACCUACUCUUGACAUCCAGAGAACUUUCCAGAGAUGGAUUGGUGCCUUCGGGAACUCUGAGACAGGUGCUGCAUGGCUGUCGUCAGCUCGUGUUGUGAAAUGUUGGGUUAAGUCCCGCAACGAGCGCAACCCUUAUCCUUUGUUGCCAGCGGUUCGGCCGGGAACUCAAAGGAGACUGCCAGUGAUAAACUGGAGGAAGGUGGGGAUGACGUCAAGUCAUCAUGGCCCUUACGAGUAGGGCUACACACGUGCUACAAUGGCAUAUACAAAGAGAAGCGACCUCGCGAGAGCAAGCGGACCUCAUAAAGUAUGUCGUAGUCCGGAUUGGAGUCUGCAACUCGACUCCAUGA